CGGGACGGGUGAGUAAUGCUUGGGAAUCUGGCUUAUGAGGGGGAGUAACUACGGGAAACUGUAGCUAAUACCGCGUAGUAUCGGAAGAUGAAAGUGCGGGACCGUAAGGCCGCAUGCCAUGGGAUGAGCCCAAGUGGGAUUAGGUAGUUGGUGGGGUAAAGGCCUACCAAGCCUGCGAUCUCUAGCUGGUCUGAGAGGAUGGCCAGCCACACUGGAACUGAGACACGGUCCAG
rnacentral:rRNA from 1 species